CUUAACACAUGCAAGUCGAACGGGGUGCUCAUGACGGAGGAUUCGUCCAACGGAUUGAGUUACCUAGUGGCGGACGGGUGAGUAACGCGUGAGGAACCUGCCUUGGAGAGGGGAAUAACACUCCGAAAGGAGUGCUAAUACCGCAUAAUGCAGUUGGGUCGCAUGGCUCUGACUGUCAAAGAUUUAUCGCUCUGAGAUGGCCUCGCGUCUGAUUAGCUAGUAGGCGGGGUAACGGCCCACCUAGGCGACGAUCAGUAGCCGGACUGAGAGGUUGACCGGCCACAUUGGGACUGAGACACGGCCCAGACUCCUACGGGAGGCAGCAGUGGGGAAUAUUGGGCAAUGGGCGCAAGCCUGACCCAGCAACGCCGCGUGAAGGAAGAAGGCUUUCGGGUUGUAAACUUCUUUUGUCGGGGACGAAACAAAUGACGGUACCUGACGAAUAAGCCAUGGCUAACUACGUGCCAGCAGCCGCGGUAAUACGUAGGUGGCAAGCGUUAUCCGGAUUUACUGGGUGUAAAGGGCGUGUAGGCGGGAUUGCAAGUCAGAUGUGAAAACUGGGGGCUCAACCUCCAGCCUGCAUUUGAAACUGUAGUUCUUGAGUGCUGGAGAGGCAAUCGGAAUUCCGUGUGUAGCGGUGAAAUGCGU
rnacentral:rRNA from 1 species